rnacentral:ncRNA from 1 species
CAAAAUAAAGGGCAAAGCCGCCGGAAGGCGGUGACGCAAAACUAGAGGGUCUCAAUCACGUAUGUGACAGACAGCCAGUUGCUGGC